UUGAGCUCAGAUCAGGUAGGACUACCGCCUGAACUUAAGCAUAUCAAUAAGGCGAGGAACAGAAACCAACAGGGAUUCCCCUAGUAGUGGCGAAUGAAGCGGGAAAAGCUCAAGUUUGAAACCUGGCGGGUGACCUCCAGAGUUGUAAGCUGAAGAGGCAUAGACCGACGCGGUCCGGGCUCAAUUUCCUUGGAACAGGAGGUCAUGGAGGGUGAGAACCCCGUCUGUGGCUCGAGUGCCGUCGUCCUUGCGUCUUGCCCUCGUAGAGUCGGGUUGUUUGGGAAUGCAGCUCAAAAUGGGUGGUAAAUUUCAUCUAAAGCUAAAUAUUGGCGAGAGACCGAUAGCAAACAAGUGGAGUGAUCGAAAGAUGAAAAGUACUUUGAAAAGAGAGUGAAACAGUACGUGAAAUUGUUGAAAGGGAAGCGUUUGGCAUCAGCCCAUGGCGCUCGAAGAUCAUCCGGGCUUCUGUCCGGUGCACUUUUCGAGCGUUGGGCCAGCGUCGACUUUGCCUGCUGGAGGAAGGCCUUGGGGAUGUGGCUCCCUUCGGGGAGCGUUAUAACCCUUGGCGUCAUGCAGUGUGGUGGGGUCGAGGUCCACG
rnacentral:rRNA from 1 species